rnacentral:pre_miRNA from 1 species
CUAUUACUCCCUCCGUUCGGAAUUACUUGUCUCGAAAAUGGAUGUAUCUAGAUCUAGAUACAUCCAUUUUCGAGACAAGUAAUUCCGAACGGAGGGAGUACUCA